CGGGGCGUAGCGCAGCCUGGUAGCGCAUCUGCUUUGGGAGCAGAGGGUCGCAAGUUCGAAUCUUGCCGCCCCGACCA
rnacentral:tRNA from 10 species